AGAGUUUGAUCAUGGCUCAGAUUGAACGCUGGCGGAAUGCUUUACACAUGCAAGUCGAACGGCAGCACGGAGAGCUUGCUCUCUGGUGGCGAGUGGCGAACGGGUGAGUAAUAUAUCGGAACGUGUCCAAUAAUGGGGGAUAACGAGUCGAAAGAUUCGCUAAUACCGCAUACGCCCUACGGGGGAAAGCAGGGGAUCGUAAGACCUUGCGUUAAUGGAGCGGCCGAUAUCUGAUUAGCUUGUUGGUGAGGUAAAGGCUCACCAAGGCGACGAUCAGUAGCUGGUUUGAGAGAACGACCAGCCACACUGGAACUGAGACACGGUCCAGACUCCUACGGGAGGCAGCAGUGGGGAAUUUUGGACAAUGGGGGCAACCCUGAUCCAGCCAUUCCGCGUGAGUGAAGAAGGCCUUCGGGUUGUAAAGCUCUUUCGCGAGGGAAGAAAACUUGUGAUCGAAUAAAUCAUGAGGUUGACGGUACCUUGAUAAGAAGCACCGGCUAACUACGUGCCAGCAGCCGCGGUAAUACGUAGGGUGCGAGCGUUAAUCGGAAUUACUGGGCGUAAAGCGUGCGCAGGCGGUUUUGUAAGUCGGAUGUGAAAUCCCCGGGCUCAACCUGGGAACUGCGUUCGAAACUGCAAGGCUAGAGUGUGUCAGAGGGGGGUAGAAUUCCACGUGUAGCAGUGAAAUGCGUAGAGACGUGGAGGAAUACCAAUGGCGGAGGCAGCCCCCUGGGAUAACACUGACGCUCAUGCACGAAAGCGUGGGGAGCAAACAGGAUUAGAUACCCUGGUAGUCCACGCCCUAAACGAUGUCAACUAGUUGUUGGUAGAGUAAAAUCUAUGAGUAACGUAGCUAACGCGUGAAGUUGACCGCCUGGGGAGUACGGUCGCA
rnacentral:rRNA from 1 species